rnacentral:misc_RNA from 1 species
UACAGAGGUCCCAAGCGUUGUUCGGAUUCACUGGGCGUAAAGGGUGCGUAGGCGGCAUGGCAAGUUUGGUGUGAAAGCUCCGAGCUCAACUCGGAAAUUGCACUGAAAACUGCCGUGCUAGAGGAUCGGAGGGGAGACUGGAAUUCUCGGUGUAGCAGUGAAAUGCGUAGAUAUCGAGAGGAACACCAGUGGCGUAGGCGAGUCUCUGGACGAUUCCUGACGCUGAGGCACGAAAGCUAGGGGAGCAAACAGG